UACGAAGGGGGCUAGCGUUGUUCGGAAUUACUGGGCGUAAAGCGCACGUAGGCGGACAUUUAAGUCAGGGGUGAAAUCCCGGGGCUCAACCCCGGAACUGCCUUUGAUACUGGGUGUCUCGAGUCCGGAAGAGGUGAGUGGAAUUCCGAGUGUAGAGGUGAAAUUCGUAGAUAUUCGGAGGAACACCAGUGGCGAAGGCGGCUCACUGGUCCGGUACUGACGCUGAGGUGCAAAAGCGUGGGGAGCAAACAGG
rnacentral:rRNA from 1 species